rnacentral:rRNA from 1 species
GAUGAACGCCGGCGGCGUGCCUAAUACAUGCAAGUCGAGCGAAUGGAUUAAGAGCUUGCUCUUAUGAAGUUAGCGGCGGACGGGUGAGUAACACGUGGGUAACCUGCCCAUAAGACUGGGAUAACUCCGGGAAACCGGGGCUAAUACCGGAUAACAUUUUGAACCGCAUGGUUCGAAAUUGAAAGGCGGCUUCGGCUGUCACUCAUGGAUGGACCCGCGUCGCAUUAGCUGGUUGGUGAGGUAACGGCUCACCAAGGCAACGAUGCGUAGCCGACCUGAGAGGGUGAUCGGCCACACUGGGACUGAGACACGGCCCAGACUCCUACGGGAGGCAGCAGUAGGGAAUCUUCCGCAAUGGACGAAAGUCUGACGGAGCAACGCCGCGUGAGUGAUGAAGGCUUUCGGGUCGUAAAACUCUGUUGUUAGGGAAGAACAAGUGCUAGUUGAAUAAGCUGGCACCUUGACGGUACCUAACCAGAAAGCCACGGCUAACUACGUGCCAGCCGCCGCGGUAA